rnacentral:rRNA from 1 species
GGACUCCGAUCCUAAUUUGUGGUACUUCACAACUCUUAUUUUUAUAUCCAAAAAUUAAAAAUCAAAACUUUUAACAAUGGAUCUCUUGGUUCUCGUAUCGAUGAAGAACGCACCGAAACGCGAUAUUUCUUGUGAAUUGCAAAAGUGAAUCAUCAGUUUUUGAACGCACAUUGCACUUUGGGGUAUCCCCCAAAGUAUACCUGUUUGAGCGUUGUUUCUCUCUUGGAAUUGCAUUGCUUUUCUAAAAUAUCGAAACAAAAUUGUUUGUAUUAAAUUAUAAUCAACCUCAAAUCAAGUAGGACUACCCCCUGAACUUAAGCAUAUCAAUAAGCGGAGGAAUUCUAGCUUUUCUGGCAAGCCGGCCCCCACUUCUUUUGUUGGUCUAAAUACAAACUCCAAUGCUUAAAACUAAAGCCCUCGGGAUUGGGGCGCGGCGA